GACUGGACCCUUUGGCCCGGGCCACAUGUUUGACACCUGUGAUCUAAAUCCUGACUCUGGGCUUGAGGGGAGUCAUGACCAAAACGACUUAAGGUUAUAACACAGACCAUCAAGUAACUGGAGAACUUAACCUUGAGGGUCACCAUGACUCAUACCUAUAUCCCAUCAGUCCAUAUGUGUCCAUUCUGUUGUUGUUGGCAGCUAUUUACAGCCAAAGUGUUCACUUUGCAGUAGGAUUCAGGUUAAAUACAGGACCACAGACAAAUUUAGCCUAUUUUUGUCCUUAUGAAAGGUCCAGUGUGUAAGACGUACGGGACUAUAUGUGCAAAAAUGCAGUAGUUGUCUAAGCCUGUUUUCUUUAGCUUAGACUGGGUCAUUUAUUUGAACAGAUGGUCCCCAGAUGGUCCAUGUAGUCCAUCUUUUGGAAGCGAUAUGUUUCUAUAGUAGCUAUAAUAGCUCACCUUUUUAACACCUCUAUAACCAAAAGGUUCAGAACAGAUACACCUCAAACUCAACAUUCCAUGCCAUUAUAUCUUACACACUGAACCUUUAAGUCAGUACAAAGGUUAUGUUGAUUUUUUUGAUCUCAGAAAAACAAGAAAACAAGGCUUGAUAUUUUUUUAGCUCCAGGUAACUUCUUUAUGAUCACACAAGAGAAACAACACAAAACCAAUCCUCUUUGCCCAUGUACUCUGCUGCCUUCUGAUGAUGUGUGUGACGAUAAAGAUUGAAAAUGUCUUUAUGUAGUGAUGAAGAAUAGUGCAGAGGCAGCCAGUCUCCACCCCCACCCCCACCCCCACACACACACACACAUACACACCGUCAGUAUCGUAACCUAGACCUGAGUCAUCUUUGAAACUUACUUUGUACAAUAAGCUGGAUAUUUUCCUUUCAAUCAAACACAUCCUCUACCGUGUUUUCAUAGCCCUUACAUUCAUCAGAUUAUGAAAACUCUACCCUUUAACUUAUUUUGUUGUUGUUGUUAUAAUUUUGUGUGCAUGUAAAUACUGUGGUGCUGCAGCUGCAGCUCUUCUAAGUUCAAACUUGAAUGGCCUCAUUUUGAGGACAGAAAAAAAGUGGCCAGACUUUAACUUGUCAAUUCAUCACUGAAAACCCUUUUUUCCUAAAAUAAAUAAAUACAUAAAAUUUCACAAGUGUUUGUCCACUGAUCUGAUAUCUUCUCUUUGGCCACUUCUUGUGUUAUUUUAAAAGGGAAAGCAGGUUUUUUUGUUUUUUGUUUUUUUUUUCUUAUGUACAAUUUACAAUCAGUUGUCAAACUCUGAUCGGUGAAGGUGCCAAUACACUCCGUCAGAACUGUCAGUCAAAUGAUUGAAGUUUCACAUCCCAUGUCCAACGGCAACUGGUCAGAUGUGUAAAUGUGAGAAUAAGGCCAUGGUUUUACUUCUCUCUUAUCUGGCUUCUUGAAUUGCUUUUACAAUCUAUUUUUUGUCACUUUUCAAAUUAAAGUGCACCACAAAAAUGCAUUCUUAUUACAGCAUGUCUCUAUGCUUAAAUGCUAAUUGGUUGGUUACCAAGGCAAACUCAAAUGACAUGUAAACCAAAUAAGGUAAGACAAUAUAGUGUAUGAAUGCUUUUCCUAUGUUUUCUUGUUAUUAAAGCCUCAACAUACGUCAAAUGAACAAUAAGACAUGAGCUAAAAAGCAGGCAGUUCCAGUCUAGCAAAAUUUGGGUGAGAGAUGCUUUUCAAAGUAUUUACAAAUGAUAAAUAAUAGAACCAUUCCAUGCAUCUCAAUCAGAAUUCACACUCUAAUAAUGAUUACAUUUGGCUGCUUAAAAACUGUAAACACUGACAACUACAAAAAGGAGUAGAAUAUUAGGAUUUUACAAGGACCCGUUAAUAUAACAAAAGUCUAAAAGUGAAUAAAAUAAAAUAAAAAACAUGAUACCUACUGUAGUAAGUAGAGGUAAGUUCAUAUGGAAUGACUCAAUGGUUUUAGCUUCAAUAAUGUUAAAUUAAUUCAUAAUAUGAGUAGGAAGGAAGACAUAUCAGUACACAUUUGUUUAGUUUUGCCAGAGUUUAGGCUCCACAGACAGAUAAAUGUCCACCCAAUGAAAUGAUCGGAAUAUUUUUUAACAUGACAUUUAUCAUGAUUUUCCCAAACUAUUUUAAAUCACAAAUCGGUUUUACACAGCUGACGAGAUUUAUUCUAUAUAGGCACAAGGCAUAAUUUCUAAAUUUAGAGUAGGAUCAAAGUUGAGGUUAAAAAAAUAACAACUUUGACAAGAAAGUCCAAUUUUUAUGAUAAAAGUUAAAUGUUGUCCAACACACGUGCAAAAAUCACCCUAAUUGUGUUGCAGUAUGUUUUUAGCUCACUAUUUGGUUACAGCUGGUUUGAAUGAAAUGUAUUUAAUUUAAAAAAAAAAAA